GUCUCAUUGUGUUGACCAGGCUGGUAUUGAACUCCUGGGCUCAAGUGAUCCUCCUGCCUCUGCCUCCAACGGAAAUCUACACUGACCAUUCCAGUUACCUAUUUCUGUGGAACAAAUCACCUCCAAAGAAAAGUGUCUGGUAUACUGUAUGCUAAUCCAACAGGACUGUGGUCUUAUAAGAAGAGGAAGACUCUCUCUCUACCAUGAGAACACAGGAUGAGAAGGCUGCCAUCUGCAAGCCAGAAGGAGAGCCCUCACUGGAAGUCAGCCAUGUUGGCACCCCGAUCACAGACUUCCAGACUACAGAGCUGCUGGGCCGUAAUCCAAGGACCAGUGUCUUCAUAAGAGGGAAAUUUGGACACAGGUGACACAGAAAGGAGAAUGCCACAGGAUGAAGGAGGCAGAGAUGGAAUGAUGCAUCUACAAGCUGGGGCUCCUGGCAACCACGAGAAGCUAGGAGAGAAGCAGGUAACAGAUAUUCCCCCAGUCUCCAGGAGAAACCAACCCUGCCAAUACCUUGACUUCCGACUUCCUGACUACAGACCAUAAGAGAAUACAUUUCUCCUGUUUGAAGCCACCUAGUUUGUGGUCAUUCCCUAUGGCAGCCCUGGGAAA